rnacentral:misc_RNA from 1 species
AUAAAGAGUAUUUACAAGAAGUAUAUGACCGCACUCCACUGGGGCGCCUGGGAGAACCAUCUGAGGUUUCAUCUCUUGUGGGAUUCCUUUGUUUGCCUGCAUCUUCCUACAUCACUGGUCAGAUAAUCUGUGUUGAUGGCGGAAUGUCUGUAAAUGGCUUCUACCCUCACCAUGACUAGAGGAAUAACUGCUCGUAGAGUAAUGCUACAGAUUUGCAGGAGAAAAGUUUGUAUCGAGGGCAUCUCAAAUGCAUCAUUGGCUGGACAUUCCAUGAGUUGUGGAAAAGUUGGCAGGUUUGUUAUUUUGUUUUGAAAACUGGAUCUGUUUUUUCAAAUGACUUGCUUGAUGAUCAGUGCUGGCUCAUAUCCG